GAUGAACGCUGGCGGCGUGCCUAAUACAUGCAAGUCGAGCGAAUGGAUUAAGAGCUUGCUCUUAUGAAGUUAGCGGCGGACGGGUGAGUAACACGUGGGUAACCUGCCCAUAAGACUGGGAUAACUCCGGGAAACCGGGGCUAAUACCGGAUAACAUUUUGAACCGCAUGGUUCGAAAUUGAAAGGCGGCUUCGGCUGUCACUUAUGGAUGGACCCGCGUCGCAUUAGCUAGUUGGUGAGGUAACGGCACACCAAGGCAACGAUGCGUAGCCGACCUGAGAGGGUGAUCGGCCACACUGGGACUGAGACACGGCCCAGACUCCUACGGGAGGCAGCAGUAGGGAAUCUUCCGCAAUGGACGAAAGUCUGACGGAGCAACGCCGCGUGAGUGAUGAAGGCUUUCGGGUCGUAAAACUCUGUUGUUAGGGAAGAACAAGUGCUAGUUGGAUAAGCUGGUACCUUGACGGUACCUAACCAGAAAGCCACGGCUAACUACGUGCCAGCAGCCGCCGUAA
rnacentral:rRNA from 1 species